rnacentral:tRNA from 1 species
GAUCGACAUUGGCGCGGGCUUCCUGCGCCGCGGCGCUGGCCUCGUCGGCGAGCUUGCCGGCCUCGCGAACCUGCGCUCCGAUCCCCAGCGCCGACUG